CACUGGAAUGACCUAUUAUCCCAGAUAUUCCAGCCUCUGGAGCACCCCUCGUUUUAACCCAUCGGUGGCCGUGUCUUCAGUUGGCUAAGUGCUGGAAUUCUUUCCCUGCGUCACUAUCCUUCGAGGUGACACACUUUAAACUUAUUUUCCAGAAUACGUUUUUAGUCAUCUGACCCAAUAUCUCCUUACGCAGUCCGGAUCCAUUUCAUAUUUUUUAAGACGCCGCUUCGAAAUGUUUCAUUACUUUAAGGGCACCGGUGACACCAAUUCUUAUCGUUGAAGAGGCUUCCGGCAUAAAGUACUCCAUACACCACUGCUAUCUCUGUACCAUAACUUGGGUCUACAGAGACUUUCUAGGGAGUCCACUGGGGGAGUUGCAAAGAAAGAACAAUCCUGGCUUCUCUAAAGAAGCCUUAUCCAACAAAAUCAUGAGGGGAAUGGACAGAACCAAUAGGCAGAAACUGUUGCCAUUGGAAAGGAGGCGAAAGCCAGAGGACCAUGAUUUGUUUUGAAGAUUCUCCAACUGACAAGGCUCAAUUAUCGAUGGUGGAGGCAAGCCCAGAGGGAUCAGGGGCCUUCCAGCCUCUCACAGGCCUGACCUCUCCAAGCUUGUGGAAACCCAGAACCGAGGCCCAACCAGCGUGGGAACAAGACUCGACCCCACAGUGACCUGACAUCGAGAAGGCCCGAAACAACCACAAGACCCACCCACCCACACCCUGGAAUGCUCAAGGCUGUGACUGGUGUCCAAGACCCCAUUGGAUGCACCCACCUACCUCUUGGAGCAACUCCAGGAUUGACUAGGAGCUGCCAUGUACCCAGGAAAUGUGGAAAACAUGCUGGACUUAAAGUGAAACUGAAACUUUGGGGUUUCCAUUCCCCCCUCCCCAGCAUACCCCUGGCAAAUGUCUAAUCGACUGAAAACAAGAUGGAUGACCCCAAAGCUAGACUUAAGUACACUGCUGUGUGCUCUAUUUCACAGAGACAUGGCUCACUGUUGCUAUAUCGGACUGUGCCUUACAAACUGAAUGUUUGUCAGUUCAUCGAAUGGACCACACAGCAUCUGCAGGCAAGCCAAGGGGCAGUGAGGUCUGCAUCUUAAUCAACACCUCCUGGUGCUCAGAUGUGGUGACCCUGGCAAGUUACUGCUCCCCAGAUCUAGAAUAUCUUACAGUAAAGUGACAUCUCCACUACCUGCCACGCGGGUUCACCUCCGCAAUCCUGACAGCAGUCUACGUCCCACGCCAUGAGGAAGUGAAGAGUCCAAUCGAUGAAGUAUUAAACACCACAAACGGGCUUGAGACACAAUAACCCGAGGCCUGUUUGUUGUAGCUGGUGACUUCAACCAGGUCAACCUCAAAAAUGUGCUACCCAAAAUACCAUCGACAAGUCACCUGUCCCACCAAAGGUCCAAACAUCCUUGACCAUUUCUAUGCAACCAUCAAAGAUGCCUACCGUUCCAUCCUCAAUCUGCAUUUUGGAAAAUCAAAGCACAGCACUUUGCUCUCCUUCUUGGCUCACAAGCAGAAAUUGAAGUGCGAGGACCCGGUAUAGAAAGUAGUGCACUGUUGGUUAGAGGAAACUAAAAGGGCUUCUACAGACUGCUUAGAAUCGGAGGACCGGUCCAAAUGCGAGAACUUAGUGGCCAACUUAAACAAGUAUGCCACUACCGCCAUAGACUUCAGUAGUAGAUGACUUUGUGCUGAAGAAGUUAAUCCAAAUGUUCCCCAACCGGAAAUCAUGGAUGAACUGGGAGAUACACUCCUUACUGAAGUCUAGGUCUGAGGCAUUUAAGUUGGGUGACCCUGAUCUACACAGGAAAUCCAGCUACAACCUUUGUAAGGCCAUCAGAGAUGCCAAGAGGCAAUACCCAACUAAGCUUGAGACCCAGACAAACCACAUGGACACCUGUCAUUUGUGGCAAGGCUUACAGCACAUAACGGGCUACAAACGAGGUCAAACAGAAUCACAGGCAUCAAUAUAUCUCUUCCCGAUAAGCUCAAUGCAUUCGACGCUUGCUUUGAUCAGAAGGUCAAUGACACAAUGUCACCUAUCCCAAUAGUCUUGGAUGCGCCUGUAUCCAUGGUCAUUGCCACAGACAUUAGAAUGACCUUCUUCAGAGUGAACCCACAGAAAGCAACCGGCCUGGAUGGAGUCCACAGCUCUGCACUCAGAUCCUGUGGAUCUGUGGAAGUAAUCGCAGACAUCUUUAACCUCUCCUUGCUGCAUCUGAAGUCCUCACCAUCAACCCAGUGCAAAAGAAAAAUCAUUCAGCAUGCCUCAAUGACUACAACUGGCAUUAUGAUCUGAUUUUCUAAAAUAUGGAUGGGGAGAGGUGGAGUGGUAGGCAUCUUUGAAGAUUGUAUAACAGUGGUCAAGGAUGUUCAGACCUCUGGUGGGACAGGAGACGUAUUAAUGGUAUUUUGGUAGCACGUUCUUGGUUGGCCUAGUUGAAGCUACCAGCUACAAAUGAACAAGGCCUCGGUGGCUCUGAUCUCCAUAAUUAUGAAGUGCUUCGAGAGGUUAGUCAUGGCUCACAUCAACUCCAGAUCGCCUUGAUCCUUUGCAAUUUGCCUACCGGCCCAACAGGUCCACAGCAGACGCCAUCUCCCCAGCCCUACACUCAUUCCUGGAAUCUCUGGACAACACGGAUACCCACGUCAAGCCUCUUCUGAUUGAAGGCAGAGCUGUAGUCAACACCAUAAUUCCAAACAAACUCAUCUCCAAACUCAGAGACCAAGGUCUCAGCUUCCCCCUCUGUAACUGGAUCCUCAACUUCCUGUAAGGAUAGGUGACAGCACCUCCUGCACGAUAAUCUUAACAACGGUGCCCCACAACCCAGCCCCCUACUGUACUCCUUAUACACUUAUGACUGCGUGGCCAAAUUCUACUGCAACUCUAUUUACAAGUUUCCGAUGAAACCAUCGUUGGAGGUCGAAUCUGAAACAAAUGACAAGACUGAGUACAGGAGAGAGGUGGAGUGCUUAGCAGCAUGGUAUAAAGACAAUAAUCUCUCCAUCAAUGUCAGCAAAACGAAGGAGCUGGUCAUUGACUUCAGGAAGCAGAGUGGAGAGUAUGCCCCUGUCUGUAUCAAUGAUGCUGAGGUGAAGAUGGUCAAGAACGUCAAGUUCCUGGGAGUGAUCAUCGCAACAAUUUGUCCUGGUCCGCCUACAUCAAUGCAAAGGUCAAGAAAGUACAACAAUGCCUCUACUUCCUCAGGAGGCUAAGGAAAUUCGGCAUGCCCAUAAAACCUUUUACAAAUUUUUAUAGAUGCACUAUAGAAAGCAUCCUACCUGGGUGCAUCACAGCGUGGUAUUGCAACUGCUCUUUCUAAGACUGCAAGAAACUACAGAAAGUUGUGAACAAAGCCCAAUCCAUCACGCCAACCAGCCUUCCAUCUAUUGACUUCAUCUAUAUUUCCCGCUGCUUCAGGAAAGCAAUUCACAUUACCAAAAAUCCUUCCAACUCCAAUUACACUCUCUUCCAUCUUCUUCUGUAGGGAAGAAGAUAUAAAAGUUUGAAUACAUGUACAAACAGAUUCACAAACAGCUUCUUCCCCAUUUUUAUCAGACUUUUGAACAGACCUCUUAAACGUUAAUUCUGACCUCUCUCCUUGAACCUUGUCUGUGGCUGUAACACUGUAUUCUGUUCUGUCAUCCUGAUACACUUUGUAGAUCUGUUUGUAGAGCACAAAAAAAAACACUUUCAGUGUACCUUGGGUGCAUGUGAUAGCAAUAAAUCAAAUCAACGAGCCAAAUGGUCAUCUCUGUGCUGUAACCAUUUUAUGAUUCAACGAUAUGAUCAAACUCCCGGAGUGCCGUGGUCAAGAGAGUAAACAGCAAUCAGAGGUGUCUUCUGUGUUCUCCUUGCCUUCCCCCUGUGCUCUUCUGGAGCUUUCUGCAUGUUCUGUUCUCCCCCGGGCUCUUGCUUUCUCCAGGCUGCUGCCAAAGACAGACAGACUUCGCAGUGAAAGGCAGCCACACCCAUUUAACUGAUGGCUGUGGGUAAACAAUUCUUUUAAAAGCAUUAUUGAAAAUAAGAACCUAUUUGCAUGCAACAUUUUCAUAUUUUGAGCAUUAUCAAAUACCAUAACUUGGCCGGGCUGUUCGUUAUGCCAAAUCAAAAUGGAAAGAGGUCCUUCAUUCAAAACAACUGAGAGGCAAUAGUGUCUCAGAGCCUGUGUUACAAAUGAUAGUGCAAGAGAGACGAGAGAUUCGUGCUCAUCAACAAUUCUCUAGCGAUUUAGAAUUGAUACUCUGCUAUAAUUAUAUACUAGAUAUUCCAAAAUAUCAUUCAGAAAAUUUAUUUUCCUACUAACCUGUUGACUCCAAUGAUUCCCUAGUGUGAGCUGUAACUAAGACAGCAGUGUUUUUUGCCUCUGCGUCAGAAAGUUGUGAGUUCAAGUCCCACUCCAGGACAGUAAUGAGGAAGCUGCCACCUUUUGGAUGAAAUAUUGAACACAAGUGGAUAGAAAUGAUCCCAUGAUGUCAUUUUAAGGAAGAGUCAAUGUGUUCUGGCCAAUCCCUCAAUCAACAUGGCAGAAACAUAUUAACUGCUCACAAUUGCUUUGCUGUUUGUGAGCCUUUUUGGUGCACAGAAUUGGCUGCUGCAAUUCCUACUUCUCAACAGUGGUUCCAAUCCUGGAAACGAGCACUCAGGAAGUAGGUGGACAAAGCAGUGGGCAAUAGAAAUGAGAAUGCGCCAGGAGGAUAAAAAACAUCAGUCAAAUUUCAGAUCAGUACCUGACAUCUGUGUCAGCUGUGAAAGAGACUACUACUUACAAAUCCGCCUUUACAGCAGCAACAAACAGUGUACGAUACAAAAGUGGCAUACCCAAGAUGCAGUCUGUCAUCUCCAAAGGUGUACGGCCACUAUCAUAAUAAUGACAACACAUCAACAUUACUUAUUUGGCUGGAAAGCAUUUUGAGAUGAUCUGUGGCAUGAUUUCGCUUGCUUUUAGUCCAACUGUUUCAAAUUCCAGACAAGCCCCGAAUACAGCUGUGGACAGCAGAGAGAGGUAAAGUGAAAGCUCUAACUCCCUUUCCUUACAGCUCAACCAGGGUGGAUUGUUUGGAUCAACAUAUGUGCGUAUUUUUAAGCACUUACUUGUGUGUGAGCAAUUUAAAGUGAAUAGAGCACAAAUAGUCUAUUUGUCACAUUUCCAGUUUGUUAUAGGGAAAUAGUGUUUUCAGGUCUGGUGAAGGACAAAGUUUCUUGAAUUAUAAUAUAAUUGAGCUCAGGUAAAUGGUAUCAGAUAUCAGGACUGUUGCAGGACCUCCUCAAAGAG